rnacentral:rRNA from 1 species
CUANUNNANCAAUUUAUACAGUGAAACUGCGAAUGGCUCAUUAAAUCAGUUAUCGUUUAUUUGAUAGUACCUUUACUACUUGGAUAACCGUGGUAAUUCUAGAGCUAAUACAUGCUAAAAAUCCCGACUGUUUGGAAGGGAUGUAUUUAUUAGAUAAAAAAUCAAUGCUCUUUGAGCUCUUUGAUGAUUCAUAAUAACUUUUCGAAUCGCAUGGCCUUGUGCUGGCGAUGGUUCAUUCAAAUUUCUGCCCUAUCAACUUUCGAUGGUAGGAUAGUGGCCUACCAUGGUUU